rnacentral:lncRNA from 1 species
GCUCACCUUCAGCUUUUUCAGCAGCUCCCAACUCAGCAGCUUCCUUCCAUUUUCCUCCUCACUGCACCGAGGACAAUACUGUUUCAGCAUGCUGAGUAUACCGCAGCGCAGCAUUGCAGAUGUGCAGCACCUGCCAGAAUGACUUCCUUAUCUUCAGCUGGAACCUAAGACAAAGAAAAGAAUUUGCUGUAAUGAGCCACUUAUGGAGAAUUUCAUCUAGAUAUUUGCAGCACUAGCACAAGAAAAGUCAGCAUCAUGACUUUCCUACCAGAGUUAAGGAGAGCACCCAGAGGAGGAUGGGAGCCUUGAGGUCCUGCUUCCAUAUUACACGUGUGGGACUGCAACAGCUGAAAGCAGGGCUGGGGGAUUCCUCGUGUGCAUCCAUCAUCUCUAAAUGCCUCUCUGCAUCCUGGUCUGAAUUCAGCAGCAAGUACAAGCAGCCUGGCUCACCGACAGCAGAUAAAGAAGAGCCAGCAUCCAAACUGGAUCCAUUUCUUUGAAGCUUAAAAAAUGGUCCGCUG